rnacentral:rRNA from 1 species
AUUGAACGCUGGCGGCAUGCCUUACACAUGCAAGUCGAACGGCAGCGCGGGAGCAAUCCUGGCGGCGAGUGGCGAACGGGUGAGUAAAGCAUCGGAACGUAUCCGGGAGUGGGGGAUAACGUAGCGAAAGUUACGCUAAUACCGCAUAUUCUGUGAGCAGGAACGUGGGGGACCGCAAGGCCUCACGCUUUCGGCGCGGCCGCUGUCGGAUUAGCUAGUUGGCGGGGUAAAGGCCCACCAAGGCGACGAUCCGUAGCGGGUCUGAGAGGAUGAUCCGCCACACUGGGACUGAGACACGGCCCAGACUCCUACGGGAGGCAGCUGUGGGUAAUUUUGGACAAUGGGCGCAAGCCUGAUCCAGCCAUGCCGCGUGAGUGAAGAAGGCCUUCGGGUUGUAAAGCUCUUUCGGCGGGGAAGAAAUUGCUCAGGUUAAUACCUUGAGUAGAUGACGGUACCCGCAUAAGAAGCACCGGCUAACUACGUGCCAGCCGCCGCGGUAACAC